ACUUAUUGACAGCGCAGAUUCGAAUCCAUUCUGUGAGCGUGAGUCGAUGCCAGCGCCACAAGGUAAAUCACAGCAGAAUUUUACAUUACCUGUUGUUUAAAGGCAGCUGCCGUUAAUGUAUAGAGGACGGGAUUUAGAGCUGAAUUAACAGGAAGCACCAAAACAGCUAGCCAAGCAUACAACGAUGGUGAUAUUUGAACACCUGAAAUGAGAAGAAAUUCGAUAAAUAUCCACGAACUUUCACCCUCCAAAUCCUUUCAUUUUAUGACAGCCCAAUUUGCAAUUAACGUAUACCAGAAAAAUCAACGUAAUUGGUAAUUUUCCUGAAUAUUUUGUGUGCACUUCAACUUUGAUUCAAUUAUACUACAAUUUAACAUUACAAAAUCAAAAAAAAUAAAAGUAAAGCCAUCACCAGAUACAGACACGUCGCAAUUGAAAUUAUUUUUUUUUCAGACAAAUUGCAUAACAAUAUUUAAAGUAUGAUAUUUGAUUUUUAAUCUUCUUUGACUGUGAGUCAAUUUUUUAUUUGAAAAAUUUCAUUUAAAACCAGGAAUAAUGGAUUUUUUCGUAGAAGUUGUCAGUCAAAUUAAUAAUUGUAUUUCGUUUAACCAUGCAGUUAAACGUUAUGUAGCAAAAAAUUUAAGUAUAUUUUGGAAACAGAACGCAAAUUAGGAUGUAAUUAAAUUAAAAUGAAAUGAAAUUUCACUUUUUUCAGUUUUUGAUUUGUUUUAGUACGCACUCUCGUAAAUAAACGAAUUAUCCAUUUGCCAUAUUUUUAUUGAAAAUAAAAAUAAUUCUCUUCAAUUUUGUUUCACAACAUUUUUCUCUAUUUUAUCGAUAAAUGUACUUUUUCAAAUAAUUUUCUAAACGAUGUUUUUAUGAAAAGAAAUCUGUUUUUGCGUUUUUUGCCUUUUCUAAACCAUGAGUUUCAUAGCAAAAAAACUUUUUUUUGCUAAAAACAGCUUUCGGGAAAUGACUUGAUAAGCAGAAAUUUAAGUAACAUUCCCACAUACGUACAUAUUUACAGAACGAAAAACUUCUUGUUCCAUAAAAAAAACUAUUUAAACUUUUCAUUCAUUUUUAUAUUAAAAAUAAAUACAAUUAUUUUUUCGGCAUGAGAAAAACAUUUUCAAAAAAGUUUUUUUUUUAUUUAAAUAAAUAAUGAACUAUAAAUUAGUCAUUUUAAAAUAAUAAAGCACUUAAACGCUUAAUUAUUAUUUGCAAUAUAAACGUUGUGUGAUAUACAAUAAUAAUAAUUAAUUGCCUCCACUUUAAUAUUAGGUUAAGUCAACGCUUCACAGCAUCAUUUAUCUGCUGUUAAUAAUGAAAAUUAAAUUAUGGAAAUGAAAAUCAAAGUGCCAGGUUCAGUGAAAUUCCUCAACGAUAUGAGAUUAAAAUGUGAUAGAUUUAUGUUAAUAAAUUUUGCAUUAAUUUAGCUGCAUAUGCAAAAAUCAUUACCAAGUUGAAUAAAGAAUUUUGCACACA